rnacentral:rRNA from 1 species
ACGCUGGCGGCAGGCUUAACACAUGCAAGUCGAACGGUAACAGGGAUUAGCUUGCUAAUUUGCUGACGAGUGGCGGACGGGUGAGUAAUGCUUGGGAAUCUGGCUUAUGGAGGGGGAUAACUACGGGAAACUGUAGCUAAUACCGCGUAAUAUCGGAAGAUUAAAGGGUGGGACUUUCGAGCCACCUGCCAUAAGAUGAGCCCAAGUGGGAUUAGGUAGUUGGUUAGGUAAAGGCUGACCAAGCCGACGAUCUCUAGCUGGUCUGAGAGGAUGACCAGCCACACUGGAACUGAGACACGGUCCAGACUCCUACGGGAGGCAGCAGUGGGGAAUAUUGCACAAUGGGGGGAACCCUGAUGCAGCCAUGCCGCGUGAAUGAAGAAGGCCUUCGGGUUGUAAAGUUCUUUCGGUGACGAGGAAGGUUGAUAGGUUAAUAGCCUAUCAAAUCGACGUUAAUCACAGAAGAAGCACCGGCUAACUCCGUGCCAGCAGCCGCGGUAAUACGGGGGGUGCGAGCGUUAAUCGGAAUAACUGGGCGUAAAGGGCACGCAGGCGGUGACUUAAGUGAGAUGUGAAAGCCCCGAGCUUAACUUGGGAAUUGCAUUUCAUACUGGGUCGCUAGAGUACUUUAGGGAGGGGUAGAAUUCCACGUGUAGCGGUGAAAUGCGUAGAGAUGUGGAGGAAUACCGAAGGCGAAGGCAGCCCCUUGGGAAUGUACUGACGCUCAUGUGCGAAAGCGUGGGGAGCAAACAGGAUUAGAUACCCUGGUAGUCCACGCUGUAAACGAUGUCGAUUUGGGGAUUGGGCUUUGAGCUUGGUGCCCGUAGCUAACGUGAUAAAUCGACCGCCUGGGGAGUACGGCCGCAAGGUUAAAACUCAAAUGAAUUGACGGGGGCCCGCACAAGCGGU